AAACCAACAGGGAUUGCCUUAGUAACGGCGAGUGAAGCGGCAAAAGCUCAAAUUUGAAAUCUAGCACUUUCAGUGUUCGAGUUGUAAUUUGAAGAUAUUUUUUCUGGUUAUUCCUUUAUCUAUGUUCCUUGGAACAGGACGUCAUAGAGGGUGAGAAUCCCGUAUGAUUUUGGAUCCUAACCUUUGUGAAAUUUUAUCGAAGAGUCGAGUUGUUUGGGAAUGCAGCUCUAAGUGGGUGGUAAAUUCCAUCUAAAGCUAAAUAUUGGCGAGAGACCGAUAGCAAACAAGUACAGUGAUGGAAAGAUGAAAAGAACUCUGAAGAGAGAGUGAAAAAGUACGUGAAAUUGCUGAAAGGGAAGGGCUUUAGGUCAGACUUGGUGUUCUACGAUUAUCUUCUUUUUUUAAGUUGUGCACUCGUUUUUCACUGGGCCAAUAUCAGUUUCUUCAAUAGAGCACCUUUAGGAAUGUGACCCUUUUCUUUUUUGAUUAGGGUGUUAUAGCCUUUGGACGAUCUAUUUGUCGAGACUGAGGACUGCGUAAAUUUAUUUACUAGGAUAUUGGCGUAAUGACCUUAAGCCGC
rnacentral:rRNA from 3 species